rnacentral:rRNA from 1 species
GCCAACGAAGGGGCAGGAGGGGUGGUAAUACGUAGGUGCCGAGGGUUGUCCUGAAUUAUUGGGGUGAAAGGGCUCGUAGGCGGUUAGUCGCGUCGGGAGUGAAAACUCAGGGCUCAACCCUGAGCGUGCUUCCGAUACGGGCUGACUAGAGGUAUGCAGGGGAGAACGGAAUUCCUGGUGUAGCGGUGGAAUGCGCAGAUAUCAGGAGGAACACCGGUGGCGAAGGCGGUUCUCUGGGCAUUACCUGACGCUGAGGAGCGAAAGCAUGGGGAGCGAACAGGAUUAGAUACCCUUGUAGUC